UCCUGUUGCCCUAAGGAGAAACUCCGGUGGGUGCCGCCCCGCUGGGUGCUGCCUGGGCGUGCACGCCAGCUGCCCACGCUCCUCUCAGCCACAGCAGCAUUGCAGAGGACUAGAAACAUGUGGAGACUGGAGAGCUUCACCACGGUGGCAAAGGGUCCUCAAGGUCACGGUGGGCAGACUUUGCUUGUAGGACAACGUGUGCUGCCGAGGGGCCCGCUGGGCUGACUGCCUCUGAUCCCUCAAAGUCGUGUCUGGCUUGUGGUCUCAGCCAAUGAUCGAACUCCCUGUGCCAAAGAACUGCACUCGAGGGAAUCAGGAGGUAUUGCUACGCAGUGCGAAACAGUGUCACCUGCCACGCAGAAAGCAAAUGUAUCAGCGUUGACAGGCCAUGUCCAGUGGAGCGUAUUAGAAAAGUUGUGUGGAGGAAGGGAAGACUGCCUAGAGGAGGGCAGAGUCACUUAGCAAUUUAUGGCUACUUCUUGGGAAGUAAAGAAGCAAUGGACUAUCUGGACUCUACCAGAGGAAUGGAUGAAGAUAGCAUACCUAUCUCACAGGAUCACUAUGAGGAUCAUUUAGUUAACCUCUAUGCAGAGCUGUGAAUAUGUGUAGUUUUAAAGUUAAUAUUCAUAUUAAACUCUUUCAGUCAUAGAACUCUCCACUACAUCUAGGAAGAAGAAAAUAUUUUUCAUAGACUACCAAAAGUAAAUAAUAAAGGUAUGUUUUGGAAACAAAUGAGUUGGUUUUGCAUGAGGAAAUAAACUGAGCCGUUUACUCACACUUUUAACUUACUGUCUUUAUUUUACACGUUAUGGAACAUUAUGACCGCCAAGUGAAGCAUUCAGAAAUUAGACAAUGCCAGAAUUAAGGUUGCUGUCUUAAUUCAGCUCCUAAAUGUGGCUAUCUGUAGAAAUGAUAAAGUCUUAUUAUGAUGUUAAUAACAUGGUAUAUUUCCAUAGGACUUGUACAAUACAUAGGCUGGAUAGUGCACACCAGAUGAGUGGCUAUUAAAUAUUUUA